GCUUACGGCCAUACCAGCCCAAGAACUUCCGGUCUCGUCUGAUCUCGGAAGCUAAGAAGGCUUGGGCCUGGUUACUACUUGGAUGGGAGACCUCCUGGGAAUACCAGGUGCUGUAAGCU
ensembl:rRNA 5S_rRNA 5S ribosomal RNA